rnacentral:rRNA from 1 species
UACGAAGGGGGCUAGCGUUGCUCGGAAUCACUGGGCGUAAAGCGCACGUAGGCGGAUUGUUAAGUCAGGGGUGAAAUCCUGGAGCUCAACUCCAGAACUGCCUUUGAUACUGGCGAUCUUGAGUCCGGGAGAGGUGAGUGGAACUCCGAGUGUAGAGGUGAAAUUCGUAGAUAUUCGGAAGAACACCAGUGGCGAAGGCGGCUCACUGGCCCGGUACUGACGCUGAUGUGCGAAAGCGUGG